GUGUGUGACAGGGCCCCGUCUUCCUUCCCGUUGUUGUGUUGUAGCCAAGCACCUGGUGGUGGCUGGCAUCAGGGCUCCAGGUAGCUGGGAGCCAAGUUGUAGAGGACCCUGCAACUUAAGCUCGCUCCGUUGCUGGUAGCUCGCUCCAUGGCUCAUCUCUCCCAUUGUGUGGUUCUUUGGUGAAAACUGGCUGGAAUGUUACUGACUUCUGCUGAAGUGGGCAGUUUGAGUUGGCCUUGUUGAGCAGUGAGCUCGCUACUCAUUAUCAUCCUACAGUUGCAGUGGAUUUAUUCACAGUUCCACUGGUCAAGGGAGAGUCGCUGUUCUGCUGCAACUGGGUUAGCACCCGCCCAUGCUCCAUAUGCUCUUUGCUAUAUGUGCUAUGUGAUUUAGAUGGUAACCAGAUGUGCUAAAUGAUGAUUAGAUGUGACUACUAGUAUUUAUCUGUGUUGUACAAGAUUUUGUCCAAUAGUACAUAGCUAUCUUUGAGGGGAACCAAUCCAGUGUGUGUGUGCAGUGUAAGAAGAUUCUGUAACCGUAGCCAAACGGCUUCAGAGGAACAGCAACUUUGUUUAUUUUUCUUUUGUGUGUUGCAUGCGGUUGUUUUAUUUGUUUCUUGUGUGAUUGCUUGCUGUGUACUACUCUUGCUUGCCCUCAUUGUGGCCCUGUAUAUUUGUACAUUUGAAAUUAUUGCUAUUUGCACAGAUCAUUGCAUGGUUGCUAACUCAUGUCAUGCAUUUGCCAUCUAAGAGUGAAAAUGAGAUGCAUUUAAAAAAAAAGAAUACUGAAAAUAAAUACAAAGCACAUGGGACUCCUU